UACGGAGGGUGCAAGCAUUGAUCGGAAUUACUGGGCGUAAAGGGCGCGUAGGCGGCCGUAAAAGUCAGAUGUGAAAUUCCGGGGCUCAACCCCGGAGCUGCAUUUGAAACUCUACGGCUAGAGGAUAGUAAGGGAAAACGGAAUUCCACGUGUAGCGGUGAAAUGCGUAGAUAUGUGGAAGAACACCGGUGGUGAAGACGGUUUUCUGUGCUAAACCAGACGCUGAGGCGCGAAAGCUAGGGGAGCAAACAGG
rnacentral:rRNA from 1 species